UACGGAGGGUGCAAGCGUUAUCCGGAUUCACUGGGUUUAAAGGGUGCGUAGGUGGGUUGGUAAGUCAGUGGUGAAAUCUCCGUGCUUAACAUGGAAACUGCCAUUGAUACUACUAGUCUUGAAUUUUCUGGAGGUAAGCGGAAUAUGUCAUGUAGCGGUGAAAUGCUUAGAUAUGACAUAGAACACCAAUUGCGAAGGCAGCUUACUACAGGGAUAUUGACACUGAGGCACGAAAGCGUGGGGAUCAAACAGG
rnacentral:rRNA from 1 species